UACAGAGGGGGCAAGCGUUGUUCGGAAUUACUGGGCGUAAAGGGCGCGUAGGCGGUCGUGACAAGUCACUUGUGAAAUCUCCGGGCUUAACUCGGAACGGUCAAGUGAUACUGUCGGGACUAGAGUACAGAAGGGGCAACUGGAAUUCUCGGUGUAGCGGUGAAAUGCGUAGAUAUCGGGAGGAACACCGAUGGCGAAGGCAGGUCUCUGGGCCACUACUGACGCUGAGAAGCGAAAAGCAUGGGGAGCGAACAGG
rnacentral:rRNA from 1 species